GGCCUGGGGCUGGUUGUCAAAUAUUAUGGAUGCGUUAAGAAAUUGGUUGAUAUUCAGUGACAACACAUUAAGUUCGUUUGUUUUAAAGACUUAAAAGGUUUUUGUUUGCUAAUAAGUGUUUAUUAGUCACGAAACCAAUACAAGAAACCAACAAUGCCAGCACCAGACGUACAAACUUAAACCGCAGAACUCGAAAUACGGCAAGUCACAGAUAUAUAAGUGCAAAACUAACUGAUGAGCAACGCGAAGCGCGAAAUUAACUUCAACGGAAUCGAAAUCACCAUAGAAAUGUUGUGUUUAAUCCCCACUCAGCUGCGUUAAGUUAUAAUGUGGCAAUUGAUUACAGUUCAGAGCAAAUUGUCUAAUGAACAUUGUGUGUCCACAUUGGAAUGCAUUUAAAUUCCAAAAAGAAGCCCCUGGAUUGUGUUGCGCCAGCGGCCAAGUCAAAUUGACGCCAUUGGUACUACCACCAGAGCCACUCCUUCAAUUGUUUUCCGGAAAUGGUCCAGAUUCUUAUAAUUUUUUGACUCAUAUCCAGCUAGACAAUAAUUGCUAUCAAAUGACGUCAUUUGGCACAACAAAAGUUAUUUGAGACAAUUUUUUACCUACUUUCAAGAUUCCGGGUCAAAUAUUUUAUAAAACGGGUUCCUUAUUGCUAGUGCGUGAUGAAGACUAUAAAUUUUUGCAAAUAUAUUUUAUGGGAAAUUCAACAAGAGAAGUUGAUUAGCGUUGUGCAUACAACAACUCAGUGUUGAUCCA